rnacentral:rRNA from 1 species
UACGAAGGGAGCUAGCGUUGUUCGGAAUCACUGGGCGUAAAGCGCACGUAGGCGGACGUGUCAGUCAGGGGUGAAAUCCCGGAGCUCAACUUCGGAACUGCCUUUGAUACAGCACGUCUUGAGUCCGGAAGAGGUGGGUGGAAUUCCUAGUGUAGAGGUGAAAUUCGUAGAUAUUAGGAAGAACACCGGUGGCGAAGGCGGCCCACUGGUCCGGUACUGACGCUGAGGUGCGAAAGCUAGGGGAGCAAACGGG